UACGUAGGGUGCGAGCGUUAAUCGGAAUUACUGGGCGUAAAGCGUGCGCAGGCGGUUUGCUGAGUUUGAUGUGAAAGCCCGGGGCUCAACCCUGGAAUUGCAUUGAAUACUGGCGGACUAGAGUACUGGAGAGGAAACUGGAAUUUACGGUGUAGCAGUGAAAUGCGUAGAGAUCGUAAGGAAGACCAGUGGCGAAGGCGAGUUUCUGGACAGUUACUGACGCUGAGGCACGAAGGCCAGGGGAGCAAACGGG
rnacentral:rRNA from 1 species